UAGAGACCGAUAGCAACCACGUGAUCAGUAAAAAUCGUGUAUUUUCACGUGAAAUUAUUUUUCGGAAUUCCGUACAUCGCCAUAGAGUAGUUGAAAAACAAAAAGGGGUUCCGAAAGUACAAGUUGUUGCUGUGACUGAAUCGAUGAUUGAGAGGGUCGUCUCGACGAAAGAUAUAGAAAUUUGGCCAUAGUUUAGAUUAGGAAUACGUCAAUGUAAUAAUAGUGGACUAAAUGUUUCGUCCGUACAGAAUGGCACUUUUUACCUCACGAAAUUCACCACCAUGCAUAGCUGCGCUACGUAAACAAAGUUGUUGAUGUAGCGUGAUCGUGGUGUCCGAGUGCUGCGAGUUUCAAUACUGUUUAUGUAGUCAUUGAGAGUUUAAACAAAGUUUCUUCUGAGAAGAGGAAUUCGAUGGAUGCAUUGAACGUGGACAACGAAAUCAUAAUUUCGUUUGCAUCAUCCUAAGGACCAGUGCAAGUUGAAAUAAGCUUCCAGCCAACAACUUCAACAGCAAUUUGCCAUGAAAAUCAGCAAGAAAGGUACUUCAUUUACAUUGAUGAUGUCAUAUCCCCUGGACCCCACAACUUUACAGGUUACAGAGAAAAUUCAAGAACUUCUGCAAAAUGUGGGACUUGGAUAGAAUCAAUAAUGUAUUUGUGAGCCCAGAGCAAUGGAUAUAUUGUGCAACAUACUAAAGUGUGAAUUUAAUGGAAAACAAGUACAUGUACUCAUGUAUUACAUGUCUUUUUUAAAGACAAUAAUAUUGUAUAAAUAUAGAGGAAGUGUCAUUGUUGAUUAUUCUAAGUUUUUGAUAUAUCAAAAUCAGUAAACAUUUCUAAAUGAAAAUAAAAUACCAAUUUUAUAACUUUAA